rnacentral:rRNA from 1 species
UACGGAAGGCAGCAGUGGGGAAUAUUGCACAAUGGGCGAAAGCCUGAUGCAGCUAUGCCGCGUGUAUGAAGAAGGCCUUAGGGUUGUAAAGUACUUUCAUCGGGGAGGAAAACAAAACUAAUAAUUUUAUUUCUUGACGUUACCCGAAAAAGAAGCACCGGCUAACUCCGUGCCAGCAGCCGCGGUAAUACGGAGGGUGCUAGCGUUAAUCAGAAUUACUGGGCGUAAAGAGCACGUAGGUGGUUUUUUUAAGUCAGAUGUGAAAUCCCUGGGCUUAACCUAGGAACUGCAUUUUGAAACUGAAAUACUAGAGUAUCGUAGAGGGAGGUAGAAUUCUAGGUGUAGCGGUGAAAUGCGUAGAUAUCUGGAGGAAUACCUGUGGCGAAAAGCGGCCUCCUAAACGAAUACUGACACUGAGGUGCGAAAAGCGUGGGGAGCAAAACAGGGAUUAGAUACC